rnacentral:lncRNA from 1 species
AGAGCUAAAAGUAAAGGAAAAAAUAAUUCGUUUCCAAUCCAAAAGUUCUCAACUCUAUGUAACCAAAUAAAUUAUUUACACGUAAUUUCACUUUUAAUGGAGAUUCUAGAGAGUUCAGACCUUGACGUUAGUGAAUGGCCAGUGGCGAUGUAAGAUUCAGAGGUGGCUCUUAUCAAAUUCAUUGGUGUAACACUUUGUCCUUCAUAGUACUUAGCUCUCACAUUUUCACGACCCAUCCGCUAGCAAUAAUAACUCGUUGGAUCCAAACCGCCAGCCUAAAAUAUUUUAGCCCAAUUAUUAUUACUAGCAUAUAGACCUCAUGUAUUCUAAUCAAAAUUAUUUUUCCAUUCGAUAUGAGACUAUUAGGCGUUACAAUAUAUAUAUUCAUUAUCUUAAAGUAAAAAUUAUUGAUGGAAGUUAGUUCAUCUGUACAUGCAUUCACACGCUAUAAAUUUGUUAAUUUUUUUAUGUCCCAUAAUUGCAAUUUAAGAGCCUAAUUUUUACAUAUAGAAAAGAUUAUGACUUUGGAUGUUAGGGCCCAAAUAUGUGAUGGAAAAAACAGUUAAUAAAUUCAUAAUAUUUAGAUCUGCUUAUGCACUAGGGCCCUGUUUGGUUCGGAAAAUAAGCGGGGAUAAUAAAAGUUAUCCCUUCUAUUCCGCCAAAUGGGGAGAUUUGUUGUCGGCAUAUUUUAUUCCGGUCAAAUCUUGCUAUUUCCGGUUAUUCCGGAAUAGCAACAGAUUUGCUAUUCCACUAUUUUGGUGAAAUAGUACUAUUCCACCAUUUUGGUAGAAUAGUGCUAUUCCAAUGCUUAGUUUCAAACUUAAUUAAAAUUAUAAAUUGAAUUAAAACUAAAUUAUAUAAAUAUAAUAUAGAGUCCAGCUGCUAUACUAUCGGUAGCACGGGAUCUCCCGUGCUACCAAGUUGUUUUCGAUGAUGCGGCUUCCAAAUUGACGAUCGGCUCCGUUAGACUUGAUCUACACUUUUAAAAGUAUUUGGAAACUAAAUUUUAUAAUUUUUUGACAUCAUUUGACUAGUGAUCAAAAGAUCUCAAAAUUGACCAUUUUAAUGGCCGAUGUGGCGUGUUUGUGAGUUUAACGGUGUAAAACAAUCCAAAUUCGAUGAAAAUUUUAUAAAAAAUUCUUAUCACUAUUUAGAGUAAGAUCAAUAUAUCUGAUCUUGAAUUUAAAUUUUUUAUCAUCAUUUUUUAUGAGAUUUUUAUUUUCAGCCGUUCAAUUUUAGACUAUUUGUUUGAUAGGUAAAUGAUAUCGAAAAAUUAUGAAAUUUAGUUUCCAAAUACUUUUAAUAGUGUAGAU